rnacentral:rRNA from 1 species
CCGCGGUAAUACGUAGGGUGCGAGCGUUAAUCGGAAUUACUGGGCGUAAAGCGUGCGCAGGCGGUUAUAUAAGACAGUUGUGAAAUCCCCGGGCUCAACCUGGGAAUUGCAUCUGUGACUGUAUAGCUAGAGUACGGUAGAGGGGGAUGGAAUUCCGCGUGUAGCAGUGAAAUGCGUAGAUAUGCGGAGGAACACCGAUGGCGAAGGCAAUCCCCUGGACCUGUACUGACGCUCAUGCACGAAAGCGUGGGGAGCAAACAGGAUUA